rnacentral:rRNA from 1 species
AACGAACGCUGGCGGCGUGCCUAACACAUGCAAGUCGAGCGGGAAAGUUCCCUUCGGGGAGCGAGUACAGCGGCGCGCGGGUGAGUAACACGUAGGUAACCUACCCUGGAGACCGGGAUAACCUGCCGAAAGGCGGGCUAAUACCGGAUGAGACCACGAGGGCUGCGGCCCUUGAGGAAAAAGAUGGCCUCUACUUGUAAGCUAUCACUCCGGGAUGGGCCUGCGCGCCAUUAGCUAGUUGGGAGGUAACGGCUCACCAAGGCCGAGAUGGCUAGCUGGUCUGAGAGGAUGGCCAGCCACACUGGGACUGAGACACGGCCCAGACUCCUACGGGAGGCAGCAGUGGGGAAUAUUGCGCAAUGGGCGAAAAGCCUGACGCAGCGACGCCGCGUGGGUGAUGAAGGCC